rnacentral:misc_RNA from 1 species
CAGCUGCGACUCCAGCCAGCAGAGGCCAGCAGCAUCUCUAGGUGUUGUGUGAGCAUCUAUCCACCGAUAGGAGCAAUGAAAGCCAUGAAAGUGUGACGCGUGUGAUUUGUAUGCAUGCGCUACGGUCCAUGGCCUUGUGUAUGUGUUACCUGCACCGUUUCGGCGUACCGCCUCUGUUACGCGGCGCCGUUUGUCACUUAUGCGCAUAGAUUCGCUCGAGCCGGCGCCCAGCGCGCCACGAGUACCGCCCGCAUCGUCUCCACUGAGGACCAUGGAUGUGCUGCCUCGGUGGUGACCAACCGUGUUCUUAGCGCUGCGUGCCGCCGAGUUUGAUUUCCUGUCAAGUUGGCGAGUGUGACCCGCACGUACGAAGCCAUGGACGAUCCGCUCGUAACGCGGGUCAGCCCCCGGGCCAAAGUCCUGUCCGCCCUUUUCUACGGCAUCGUUUCGUUCCUCAUAAUUAUCAUCAACAAAGUCGUGCUCACUACCUACGGGUUUCCAUCGCCGCUUUUCUUGGGAGUCGGUCAGAUGGUUAUCACUAUUACCCUGAUAUGGGCAUUAAGGCAAGCAGGGUUCAUAGAUUUCCCAAAUAUAUCGUUCGCCACCUGCGCCAAGAUACUGCCGCUUCCAAUAUUCUUCGGAGCCAAUCUAAUAUGUGGCCUUGGAGGCACACAAAAAAUUAGUUUACCGAUGUUCACGGCAUUACGUAGGUUCUCAAUUCUCAUGACUAUGAUCGGCGAAUACCUAGUGCUGAGGAAAAAGCCUCAGACGGGCGUCGUGAUCUCUGUGUUUGCCAUGGUGGGAGGUGCAAUGAUUGCUGCCUGCAAGGACCUGUCCUUCGAUCUUGGCGGCUACACACUAGUCCUGCUCAAUGAUUUUUUCACUGCGGCCAACAUCAUAUGCGUUCGCAAGGUCGUCGAUGCUAAGGACCUCACCAAUUAUGAGCUUCUCUUCUACAAUGCCUUGCUCAUGGUGGGACCUCUGGCUAUUAUGUCGUGGGCUGUUGGCGACUUGAACAUGGCGCUGGAGUUCCCGCAAUGGCUGGAGCCCGGCUUUCUCGGUGCCUUCCUCAGUUCCUGCCUCAUGGGCUUCAUGAUCAUGCAUGCCACGGUGCUCUGCACAGCAUACAACUCUGCCCUCACCACCACCAUCGUCGGCUGCCUAAAGAACAUAAUGACCACGUAUGUUGGAAUGUAUGUUGGUGGUGACUACAUCUUCAACCUAUCCAAUUUUGUCGGCCUUAGUAUUAGUGUUGGCGGGAGCCUGCUGUAUUCCUAUCUCACCUUUGUUCAGAAGCAGAGCGUGCAACAGAUACCCACGACGCAAUCAAAGAAAAGAAGUCGCGCUAGAAGAUGAGGGCUGUCUGCUUUCUAGUACUGUUGUCAGUGAUAUCAAAGAUUUAAAGGACUCUCAACACUCUGCUGUUGAAUUUUGUGAUACCCACAAGAUGAUGCCUUGGACAUAAAGUUGAACAACAAGUAAACAAUUCAAAUCCGGUGCAUGCACUCCUUCUGGAACCAGUGUGAAUUUUUCUAGAUCAAGGAGCCUCGUUUUCAACUUUUGUGCCAUGCCGAGAGCUGUUGCAGGCUUGCAUUUUUUUUACUGUGUUAGUCUAGAUCCAAGCUCAUUUGUGCUCCAUUUGGGUGCACAGAGACAGCCACUUUUGCGGUUUAUAUACAUUCUUUACAUAUAACCAAUUGCUGAAGGAUCUUGUUUUGCAGUCUGCCCUUUUGCAUGUCUGCAUUGUUGUUGCCAGUAGUAAAAACGAUGUUGAAACAAA